rfam:Exiguobacterium sibiricum 255-15, complete genome.
GUCGUCGUGGCGGAACUGGUAGACGCGCUAGACUCAGAAUCUAGUGGUGGCAACACCGUGGAGGUUCAAGUCCUCUCGGCGGCA